rnacentral:rRNA from 1 species
UUGAACGCUGGCGGCGUGCCUAACACAUGCAAGUCGAGCGGUAACAGGUGUAGCAAUACAUGCUGACGAGCGGCGAACGGGUGAGUAAUGCUUUGGAAUCUUCCCAGUAGUGGGGAAUAACCAGUCGAAAGAUUGGCUAAUACCGCAUACGUCCGAAAGGGGAAAGCGGGGGCUCGUAAGACCUCGCGCUAUUGGAUGAGCCAAAGUCGGAUUAGCUUGUUGGUGGGGUAAUGGCCUACCAAGGCGACAAUCCGUAGCUGGUCUGAGAGGACGACCAGCCACAC